CUAUACAUGCAAGUCGAACGCUUCUUUUUCCACCGGAGCUUGCUCCACCGGAAAAAGAAGAGUGGCGAACGGGUGAGUAACACGUGGGUAACCUGCCCAUCAGAAGGGGAUAACACUUGGAAACAGGUGCUAAUACCGUAUAACAAUCAAAACCGCAUGGUUUUGAUUUGAAAGGCGCUUUCGGGUGUCGCUGAUGGAUGGACCCGCGGUGCAUUAGCUAGUUGGUGAGGUAACGGCUCACCAAGGCCACGAUGCAUAGCCGACCUGAGAGGGUGAUCGGCCACAUUGGGACUGAGACACGGCCCAAACUCCUACGGGAGGCAGCAGUAGGGAAUCUUCGGCAAUGGACGAAAGUCUGACCGAGCAACGCCGCGUGAGUGAAGAAGGUUUUCGGAUCGUAAAACUCUGUUGUUAGAGAAGAACAAGGAUGAGAGUAACUGUUCAUCCCUUGACGGUAUCUAACCAGAAAGCCACGGCUAACUACGUGCCAGCAGCCGCGGUAAUACGUAGGUGGCAAGCGUUGUCCGGAUUUAUUGGGCGUAAAGCGAGCGCAGGCGGUUUCUUAAGUCUGAUGUGAAAGCCCCCGGCUCAACCGGGGAGGGUCAUUGGAAACUGGGAGACUUGAGUGCAGAAGAGGAGAGUGGAAUUCCAUGUGUA
rnacentral:rRNA from 1 species